rnacentral:rRNA from 1 species
AGAGUUUGAUCAUGGCUCAGAUUGAACGCUGGCGGCAGGCCUAACACAUGCAAGUCGAGCGGAUGAAGGGAGCUUGCUCCUGGAUUCAGCGGCGGACGGGUGAGUAAUGCCUAGGAAUCUGCCUGGUAGUGGGGGAUAACGUCCGGAAACGGGCGCUAAUACCGCAUACGUCCUGAGGGAGAAAGUGGGGGAUCUUCGGACCUCACGCUAUCAGAUGAGCCUAGGUCGGAUUAGCUAGUUGGUGGGGUAAAGGCCUACCAAGGCGACGAUCCGUAACUGGUCUGAGAGGAUGAUCAGUCACACUGGAACUGAGACACGGUCCAGACUCCUACGGGAGGCAGCAGUGGGGAAUAUUGGACAAUGGGCGAAAGCCUGAUCCAGCCAUGCCGCGUGUGUGAAGAAGGUCUUCGGAUUGUAAAGCACUUUAAGUUGGGAGGAAGGGCAGUAAGUUAAUACCUUGCUGUUUUGACGUUACCAACAGAAUAAGCACCGGCUAACUUCGUGCCAGCAGCCGCGGUAAUACGAAGGGUGCAAGCGUUAAUCGGAAUUACUGGGCGUAAAGCGCGCGUAGGUGGUUCAGCAAGUUGGAUGUGAAAUCCCCGGGCUCAACCUGGGAACUGCAUCCAAAACUACUGAGCUAGAGUACGGUAGAGGGUGGUGGAAUUUCCUGUGUAGCGGUGAAAUGCGUAGAUAUAGGAAGGAACACCAGUGGCGAAGGCGACCACCUGGACUGAUACUGACACUGAGGUGCGAAAGCGUGGGGAGCAAACGGGAUUAGAUACCCUGGUAGUCCACGCCGUAAACGAUGUCGACUAGCCGUUGGGAUCCUUGAGAUCUUAGUGGCGCAGCUAACGCGAUAAGUCGACCGCCUGGGGAGUACGGCCGCAAGGUUAAAACUCAAAUGAAUUGACGGGGGCCCGCACAAGCGGUGGAGCAUGUGGUUUAAUUCGAAGCAACGCGAAGAACCUUACCUGGCCUUGACAUGCUGAGAACUUUCCAGAGAUGGAUUGGUGCCUUCGGGAACUCAGACACAGGUGCUGCAUGGCUGUCGUCAGCUCGUGUCGUGAGAUGUUGGGUUAAGUCCCGUAACGAGCGCAACCCUUGUCCUUAGUUACCAGCACCUCGGGUGGGCACUCUAAGGAGACUGCCGGUGACAAACCGGAGGAAGGUGGGAAUGACGUCAAGUCAUCAUGGCCCUUACGGCCAGGGCUACACACGUGCUACAAUGGUCGGUACAAAGGGUUGCCAAGCCGCGAGGUGGAGCUAAUCCCAUAAAACCGAUCGUAGUCCGGAUCGCAGUCUGCAACUCGACUGCGUGAAGUCGGAAUCGCUAGUAAUCGUGAAUCAGAAUGUCACGGUGAAUACGUUCCCGGGCCUUGUACACACCGCCCGUCACACCAUGGGAGUGGGUUGCUCCAGAAGUAGCUAGUCUAACCGCAAGGGGGACGGUUACCACGGAGUGAUUCAUGACUGGGGUGAAGUCGAAACAAGGUA